UGAGGACUAGAAUCAACGGCACCACGAGGAUCCCACUGUCUCCCCACUCCAAUCAAUGAAACUGAUCUCCCCGUGAAGAAGCGGGGAUACAGAUAUAAGACGAGAAGACCCCAUGGAGCUUUAAACCCAACAACACCCAUUUACUUUUGCCCCCACAUUCAUAAGGCCCUGUUUGUUUGGUUUUAGGUUGGGGUGACCGCGGAGCAUAAAAUAACCUCCACGAAGAAUGGACUAAUAAUCCUUAUCAGAGAAAUACGCUUCUAAGAAUUAAUAAACUAAUUUUUAAUGAUCCGAUAUUCGAUCAACGAACCAAGUUACCCUGGGGAUAACAGCGCAAUCCAUUUUAAGAGCUCUUAUCGACAAAUGGGUUUACGACCUCGAUGUUGGAUCAGGGUAUCCUAGUGGUGCAGCAGCUACUAAUGGUUCGUUUGUUCAACGAUUAAAACCCU
rnacentral:rRNA from 1 species